rnacentral:rRNA from 1 species
AUUGAACGCUGGCGGCAUGCCUUACACGUGCGAGUCGAACGGUAACAGGUCUUCGGAUGCUGACGAGUGGCGAACGGGUGAGUAAUACAUCGGAACGUGCCUAGUAGUGGGGGAUAACUACUCGAAAGAGUGGCUAAUACCGCAUGAGAUCUACGGAUGAAAGCAGGGGAUCGCAAGACCUUGUGCUACUAGAGCGGCCGAUGGCAGAUUAGGUAGUUGGUGGGAUAAAAGCUUACCAAGCCGACGAUCUGUAGCUGGUCUGAGAGGACGAUCAGCCACACUGGGAAGAAGACACGGCCCAGACUCCUACGGGAGGCAGCAGUGGGGAAUGUUGGACAAUGGGCGAAAGCCUGAUCCAGCAAUGCCGCGUGCAGGAUGAAGGCCUCCGGGUUGUAAACUGCUUUGUACGGAACGAAAAGCCCCGGGUUAAUACCCUGGGGUCAUGACGGUACCGUAAGAAUAAGCACCGGCUAACUACGUGCCAGCCGCCGCGGUAA